AUAGCAUGCAUGUCUCAGUACAAGCCACAUUAAGGUGAAACCGCGAAAGGCUCAUUAAAUCAGUUAUGGUUCCUUAGAUCGUACCCACAUUUACUUGGAUAACUGUGGUAAUUCUAGAGCUAAUACAUGCAAACAGAGUUCCGACCGGAGACGGGAGGAAUGCUUUUAUUAGAUCAAAACCAAUCGGCGGCGGGUUCGCCCGUUCGCCGCUCAACCUGGUGACUCUGAAUAACUUUCGGCUGAUCGCACGGUCUCGCACCGGCGACGCAUCUUUCAAAUGUCUGCCUUAUCAACUGUCGAUGGUAGGUUCUGCGCCUACCAUGGUCGUAACGGGUAACGGGGAAUCAGGGUUCGAUUCCGGAGAGGGAGCCUGAGAAACGGCUACCACAUCCAAGGAAGGCAGCAGGCGCGCAAAUUACCCACUCCCGGCACGGGGAGGUAGUGACGAAAAAUAACGAUACGGGACUCAUCCGAGGCCCCGUAAUCGGAAUGAGUACACUUUAAAUCCUUUAACGAGGAUCAAUUGGAGGGCAAGUCUGGUGCCAGCAGCCGCGGUAAUUCCAGCUCCAAUAGCGUAUAUUAAAGUUGUUGCGGUUAAAAAGCUCGUAGUUGAAUCUGUGUCUCGCGCUGUCGGUUCACCGCCCGCGGUGUCAAACUGGCAUGCCGCGAGACGUCCUGCCGGUGGGCUGGCGUGGCGUUCGCGUCCCGCCGGCCCGACUUGAAAUCCUACCGCGGUGCUCUUCACUGAGUGUCGAGGUGGGCCGGCACGUUUACUUUGAACAAAUUAGAGUGCUCAAAGCAGGCUAAAACUUCGCCUGAAUACUGUGUGCAUGGAAUAAUGGAACAGGACCUCGGUUCUAUUUUGUUGGUUUUCGGAACCCCGAGGUAAUGAUUAAUAGGGACAGGUGGGGGCAUUCGUAUUGCGACGUUAGAGGUGAAAUUCUUGGAUCGUCGCAAGACGGACAGAAGCGAAAGCAUUUGCCAAAGAUGUUUUCAUUAAUCAAGAACGAAAGUCAGAGGUU
rnacentral:rRNA from 1 species